ACAAUCAAUAGGCAGAGAGCAAGAUAGAGGCUUCCUCAGCUUCUGGAUCGACAAUCGACAGCUGAGAGACUAUUUUUUGCUAUGGUUGACUAAAUAUGGUCAGGGAAGAGAGAGGCAUAAGAGAGCCCGUUUGUCUGGGAGUGCAUGUUUUAAAUGCUUAGCUGCCUAUAAAGCUGUAACAGUUUAGCUCAACCCAUCUGAGUGGGAAAUAUGGUUAGCCUCUGUAGUGUCCAUGUGGAAGUCCUGACCUCGCUUGCAGACUUGACCUCUGGAGAUGAAAAGCUCUUCAUCUGAGAAAAUGAGCUAGGUUCAUCUUCCUUGGACAUGCUAGCAUCCUUAACUUUCGGUCCAGCAAGCACAAGAGCUGAAUCAGCGAAUAGAGUGAACGAACACUCAGGAUGAGAUGGCUGCUGCUGAUGAGUCUGUCUCUCUAGGUCAUUACCUCUCUUCCAACUGCAAAUGCUGCAUGAUACUAAGCUUACAGGUAACAGAGCACCACAAGGCCUAUGUUAUUCUGUACUUUAAGGAUUCCUAUGACUUUCUGCAUGCUUACCUAUGAUUUACUAGAUGGUUGUUUUCAUUGAUUAAUUACUAUCUAUCUGGGCACAGUUUAAUUUUAGAGUUCAAGUAGAAAGCCUGAAUAGUGUAAAAAAGAGUCUUUGAAAAAGCAGUCUGAAAUAUCAUGCCAGACAACUUAUUUGAAAGAUGUUAUCUCCUAAGUGUACAGGUCCUUUCUGCCAUUUAUUAAUUCCUAAAAUGAAAGAUUUAUUCUUAGUAAUAGCUGUCUAGUGAAUCAUUUUGUCACUCCAGUAAAUUAUAUCCUAUUUCCAGAGAUGGGAUAUCUAAAAAAGUAUCAAUUGAAUAUUUCAAGAUUUAAGCCACUAAGAAAUAUUAUCAUGAGAUUUUUUUAAAAUGCUUAACUGAAUAAAGACAACCCAGUUUAAAUUCAGAAUGUGCAUGCUGUAAUUUUAAUACUGCAUUGCUGUUUCUCUUUGUAGUAUUAGGCUCUCUAUAGCUACAUUCUGAUUUGCUCUCUAUCAGCUGCACUAGCUUUUUGUCACAAACUGCAGGAAAUCCAAUUUCUCUGGUCUUCCUUUAACUAAGAAAUUUUCAGUGUUACUUUAUUUGCAACUUAGACUUCAAUGUUGGGAGAAUUAAGUUCCUUCUUAAUAUAACUCAUUUUCAACACACAAGCUAAGAAACUGAGCUGUUCUAUGCUGAAUCCUUUCAGUUCUUUUUUAGUUUAUUAUUCAAUUGAUCUAGCAUGUUCAUCAAAGAAGUCCAAAAAAAGGGAAACUUCUAAUUGAUUGGCAGCUUGAUAAAUAUUUUUUUAAAAUGGUAUGAAACUGAAUAAAGUAGUGACUAAUGUCAACAAAAACAUUGAAGAAUCACUCAAAUAAGCAUUAGCUCCUAGUUUUGACUUAGGUUCUACUAGUUUACACAAAAAUAACUGUUUCUUUUCUCUUGAAAACUUUCCAUUAAUGCACUUUGGACAGAUUUUAUGACUUACAAAUAAUAAAAUCUACAUUAGAAAAAAAAGUGUUAAUUGGAUAAAGAGGGACAUUUUUGACUAAGAUGUAGUUUAUGCAAAACUUAUUUUCCACUAGACUUGAGUAAUUACUACCUGCUUUUAGAAUUCAGAAGCACAUUACAAGUCAUCAAAGAAUUCUGCUGAGAAGACCAAGAUGAAAUCUUUGCAAUUACAGAAAUAUAUCUGGGAAAAUUGCUUCAGGUCAAUAAAUCAUACAAAUUUGGCCAAACCAGGAUGAAGAGCAACAGAUAUGCCUGGAAAUGACUAUGCCCAUCAAGAACAAUGAAGAAUAGUAAGCCUUAAUGCCAAAUCUUCAGGUAAAUGACACUAUAAAAUUCAAUCUUUAUGAAAAAGUAUUCUGUGCAAGUAAUCACACCAUUUUUCUGGUAAAUAAUGAACAAAUUAAAUGUUACUGUAAUGAUAUAGGAAUAGGGAAAAUGAUACAUUUCAGGUUUAUCUGACAACCACCUAGACCUACUCAGAGUACAUACUUCUUUAUGUACCCAUAUGAACAUACAAUGCUAUGGAAUGUAAAGAAGUAUGUAUUUUUGGUAGGUGAUAAACCACCAAGGGGCAAGGAAGUAGACUGCGACGGAAAGGAGCAACAUUUCUUAUGGAAUGACCUUCACGUAGCCAAUUAACCUGGCAUGAAAGAGGACAAUUUUUUCAGUACUGCUACAAUAAAAUGUGAAACAAAAUAUUGUGUUCCAAAGACACUGAUUGUUUUUAUGUAGAGGAAGAAAGAUGUCUGUUGAGAAAAAGGUAAAGAAAACUAUGAGUAUUUUUGGUUCAUUUUCAAACAUCUUUCUCAUUUUAAAUCCUUUUUAAAAAGAAGAUUCAGAAUAAUUCAAGUGACUAUAAUGUGAGACCAAAAAAGCAUCUUAGCAAAACAAAAAAAGGGGGUGGGGACAAAGGGCUUAAUUUUCAAAUCUGGUACCUACCAAUAAUGUUUUUAGUCAAUCCUUAUAAUUUAAGGUAUGUCACAUUAAUAAGACUUUUUGAUUUGUCAAACUACUGGCAUACCAAGAAAUAGUUUAUUCAUUCAAAAAUGUUAGCAAAAUAUUCAAAAUAAAAAUAGCUGUUGAAAUACAAUUAUUAUUCAUGAAAAGGCUUUUUUUAAAGUAGUCUUAACAAUCAAUCAUAGCUAAAACUUUAAUUCUAAAAGAUGUGUUUAACCACAAUCUCCCCAACUCCACCCCUACAAUAAAAAGUAUCUUUGGUCUAGUUACCUUUUAAGUUUGCUAGAUCAUUAACCAAAUCCACACUUUAAAGUUUUCAUUGUGUUUAAAUGAAAUAAACUGAAGUGUCAGAUUUAAAAGGAUAGAAAACAACAGUGCAACAAUUUCUAGGACACAGCUGCUAAUUAAAAGAUUACUACCAAUAGAAUCUUUAAUUUGAAAAAAGGAAUGACAGUUUUGGGGGUCAUUUUGCUAUAUAUCUUUAAUCUCUGUUUUGUCCCACUUAAUGAUAUUGAAGCCAAACUACUUUAACAUAUAGAUACCAAACGAUUACCUAUUUACAAAGUAGUGCUUUAAUUCAAUUUAAACCACUAUUUGUAGAAAUUUGCAAAUAGAGGAAAUCUGGAAAGAAUUGGCAUUUAAACCACUAUAUUCUCAUAAAAACAAAUAAAUAAAAUAAGCCAUAAAAUUAGUGUAUGAUAAAUGCAUAGAAGAUUUAGAGGGAAGUAGCUUCAUUUUGUUUUAGUUGGGUUAGUGUACACUGGAUAUUCCUUAAAUAAAAUUACUUAACUGAGGUGUGGGAUUUUCUUUGGGUUAUACUGACUUUUUAAUAUUUCAUGUUCUUUUUGUGUGUGGGAAGUCAGAUACAUAUGUCUAAAAGUUAUCAUGGUUAAUUUUUUUCCUACCCAUUACUGUAAUUGGUCAAGCAAGCAAUAGUUAAAAAAGAGAACCACAAAUACUAUGUAACCUGCAGAGAAAAUUAAACUGAUUUUGUGGUGUUUGAGAGACUAUUUAUCUUUUCAUGUUGACUGAGGAUAAUCACAUAUAUAGAAGAAAUAUCUAAACUAUGUUUCAAAAAUAUUUCCAAGAAUGAUUUUUUCCCCCUCAAAAUUUUGUUACUUGAUUAAUAUUGACCUUUAGGAGUUCUGAAUAACAAUUCCUAGGACUUACUACCUCAUUUUGCUUGUGGACUCCAAUAUUACUACUUUGUUGUUAUCCCUUUAAAUUUUGUAAUGAACAAUCUUACAGAUAAAUUACUCCAUAAAGUUCUAAAAAUUUGUUUUUUUAAUUAUUGAAAACACACCAAUGUCUUAUAAUUUCAUAUUAAGGCCAUGUGAUACUUUGAAACAAAUGAUGACCUGUCAAUUAUAUAUUGAUACUAUUGCAUGUGAGCUCAAGUUAACAUACUUAAGAGUAUAUUCAGUCAUUCUAAAAUGUCACAUCUAUCACUUAGAUCAGCUGUUCAUUUUUAACUGAGUACACAUUAAACUCUGGGCAUCUGCUGACACUGUUGUAACUCAAACAUUUCAACUGUCUCCCUGACAGGGAUAACAGAUGCUGACAUUAUCAAAUGCUGUACUAUGUGCUUCUUUUUUUCCAUGGCCUCUUUUUGCCCUGAUAUGGCCAGUAUAUGAAACUGAACUGCCAUCCAAAAGCACACUUGAGCAGCUGGAUCCGCUAAGUAGUUCCCAUAUAACUGAUAAAAAUAGAAGUCCAUUUUAAAGUUAUCUUCAGUGCUUAAGUCCAAGCAACCUGACACCUGCUAUGUUUCUAUUAGAAUACAUGGUGUAAAGAAUAUAUUUACAUAAAUAUCUUUAGCAAUAUUAUACAUAACUACCAACAGAUGCAGCGUCCACUUGACAAAAAUAUUCUGAACUGAUGCUGACCCCCUUCCUUUGUUCCUUAACUCCCUCUGGUCAGACAAGAGAGAAACAAUAAAGAAUUCUGCUGAAACUCUAUGACUACUCUAACUAAUGCCCCUUUUAGCUCUAUUUUAUCUAUUUUAUAGUAAUACUUCAGAAGACAACCUUAGAUAUUCUGCCCCUUGUCAAGCCAAACCGAUAUGAAAGCUAUAUUUGAAGAUUUUUUUUCAUUUUCUAAAUUGCCAUCAUUAUACUAAUGUGAAACUCUUAUUUAUUCAAAUGAAUAUAGCUUUUACAUUUUCUUAAGGUAUUAUUCCUUUAAAAGAGAUUUCUUUUAUCAGGGUACUUUUUCCACCAAAAUAAAUUACAAUCCCUCUAUGCCAGGGGUCAAUCUAGUGACAAGUCUGUCCAAAAUUAGUUAGGCUAGUUGUCACAUUAUAGAAUCUAAAACUAGAUCUUUAUGCAAUGUUUUACCAGGGAAGCCUGCCAGAGUAUAUAUUCCACAGACACAGGGACACCUCUACAACAAAAUGAGGUGGCAGUGAUUUUGGCUUUGCACUUAACCAAAACUUCUUUUUCCUAUGAGAAGGUAUUAGGUAGCUUAUAUUCAAAAUGAGAGAGAGACAGAGGCAGAGGCAGAGGCAGAGGCAGAGACAGAGACAGAGACAGAGACAGAGACAGAGACACAGAGAGACAGAGAGACAGAGUAACAUUACAUAAGUGAUAUCAGGAGAAAAUACACUGGCAUAUCUAGUAGUUCCUUUCAUCUGAAUGAAUCUGAAUUUAUCUGUGCAGGCAAUACUUUUAAUGUACGUAUGAUCUAUUUAUAAACCAAAGGGCAGAGGUACUUCCUCAAGGCCAUUCUCAUUCUUCUCCACCCCCUUUCAGCAACUUGCUAUUGGUCCUCAAUAGUUAAAAGACUAAAAAAAGCAAUGGUGAUAGAAAAAGUAUGACCUGUUGAAAUCAAGACUUAUCUCCACCUCAAAUAUACUAACAUCAAUUUUCUGGUUUCUGGUUUACUGCCUAAAGAUUAAAAUUAAGUAUGAUGUGCUAUUCUAAUUGCAUUUACUUAAAAUAUGAGUGACUUUCUGCAUUUAUAAAUAAUAUGAAGUUGUUCAGUAGUAGAAACAAAGUAGCAAUCCACCCAUUUCUGUUCUUCCCCUGAACAAAAGGAUUCAUUCAAACAGAGAACUCAAUUAAACCAAGUACUACUGAUUUACCUUGUUCAUUUCUAAAUCUUCCAGAGGGCUACAAGUUGAUAAAGGUUACUAAUGCAAAAAGCUAAACCAUUUCAAAUAAAACAUCAUUAAAGCUUGACAAUGCUUUGCUAAA